rnacentral:rRNA from 1 species
GGGGGGACGCAGUAGGAUAGGCGAAGCGUGCGAUUGGAUUGCACGUCUAAGCAGUAAGGCUGAGUAUUAGGCAAAUCCGGUACUCGUUAAGGCUGAGCUGUGAUGGGGAGAAGACAUUGUGUCUUCGAGUCGUUGAUUUCACACUGCCGAGAAAAGCCUCUAGAUAGAAAAUAGGUGCCCGUACCGCAAACCGACACAGGUAGUCAAGAUGAGAAUUCUAAGGUGAGCGAGCGAACUCUCGUUAAGGAACUCGGCAAAAUGACCCCGUAACUUCGGGUGAAGGGGGGCGCUUUAGGGGUAGCGCGCAGAAGAGCCGCAGUGAAUAGGCCCAAGCGACUGUUGAUCAAAAACACAGGUCGAUGCGAAACCGUAGGGGGAAGGAUAGGGGAUGACGCAGGCCCGGUGACGGAAGGUGGAGAGGAGUGGUUAGCCUCUGCGAAGCCACGAAUCGAAGCACAAGUAAACGGCGGCCGUAACUAUAAAGGUCCUAAGGUAG